rnacentral:tRNA from 4 species
GCGACACUAGCUCAGUUGGUAGAGCGCAACCUUGCCAAGGUUGAGGUCACGAGUUCGAACCUCGU